AACAACGUUAUCUUCCAUCACGACAACGCUAGACCGCAUGUCGUAGCGAAAAGCGUUACAAAAAAAUUGUCUGAAUUUAAUUGGGAAAUUUUAUCACAUCCCCCAUAUUCCCCAGACAUUGCCCCAUCUGAUUACCACCUGUUCAGAGCAUUACAACACUUUUUAAAAAACAAGAGAACUUUUAUCGAGACGGAAUAAUGGUCCUACCAGAAAAAUGGGAAGAAGUUGUACAACGAGAGGGGGAUUACAUUUUUUCAUGAAACUGAAAGGUAUGUAAACAAUCUUAACAUAUAUAACCGCUCGAAAAACGGCACGAACUUAUGGGAUGACCUAAUAUUUUCUUAUAAAA
rnacentral:misc_RNA from 1 species